rnacentral:tRNA from 1 species
UCGCUGGUGGUCCAGCAGUUAAGCCUCUGCACUCCCAAUGCAGGGAGCACAGGUUCGAUCCCUGGUUAGGGAA